CAUUACCAGUGACCCCCGGCUUCGGCCGGGGAUGAUCAUAACCCUUUGCUGUCCGACUCUGUUGCCUCCGGGGCGACCCUGCCUCCGGGCGGGGGCCCCGGGUGGACACAUUCAAACUCUUGCGUAACUUUGCAGUCUGAGUAAAUUUAAUUAAUAAAUUAAAACUUUCAACAACGGAUCUCUUGGUUCUGGCAUCGAUGAAGAACGCAGCGAAAUGCGAUAAGUAAUGUGAAUUGCAGAAUUCAGUGAAUCAUCGAAUCUUUGAACGCACAUUGCGCCCCCUGGUAUUCCGGGGGGCAUGCCUGUUCGAGCGUCAUUUCACCACUCAAGCCUCGCUUGGUAUUGGGCGACGCGGUCCGCCGCGCGCCUCAAAUCGACCGGCUGGGUCUUCUGUCCCCUCAGCGUUGUGGAAACUAUUCGCUAAAGGGUGCCACGGGAGGUCACGCCGUAAAACAAGCCCAUUUCUAAGGUUGACCUCGGAUCAGGUAGGGAUACCCGCUGAACUUAAGCAUAUCAAUAAGCGGAGGAAAAGAAACCAACAGGGAUUGCUCUAGUAACGGCGAGUGAAGCAGCAAUAGCUCAAAUUUGAAAUCUGGCGUCUUCGG
rnacentral:rRNA from 1 species